GAGGGAAUUUUCUGCAAUGGGCGAAAGCCUGACAGAGCAAUACCGCGUGAAGGAUGAAGGCCUGUGGGUCGUAAACUUCUUUUUUCAAGGAGGAAAAAAUGACGUGUACUUGAAGAAUAAGCAUCGGCUAACUCCGUG
rnacentral:rRNA from 1 species